rnacentral:rRNA from 1 species
UGCAGUCGAACGGUAAGGCCCUUCGGGGUACACGAGUGGCGAACGGGUGAGUAACACGUGGGUAAUCUGCCCUGCACUUCGGGAUAAGCCUGGGAAACUGGGUCUAAUACCGGAUAUGAGCUCCUGCCGCAUGGUGGGGGUUGGAAAGUUUUUCGGUGCAGGAUGAGUCCGCGGCCUAUCAGCUUGUUGGUGGGGUAAUGGCCUACCAAGGCGACGACGGGUAGCCGGCCUGAGAGGGUGAUCGGCCACACUGGGACUGAGACACGGCCCAGACUCCUACGGGAGGCAGCAGUGGGGAAUAUUGCACAAUGGGCGGAAGCCUGAUGCAGCGACGCCGCGUGGGGGAUGACGGUCUUCGGAUUGUAAACUCCUUUCAGUAGGGACGAAGCGAGAGUGACGGUACCUGCAGAAGAAGCACCGGCCAACUACGUGCCAGCAGCCGCGGUAAUACGUAGGGUGCAAGCGUUGUCCGGAAUUACUGGGCGUAAAGAGCUCGUAGGCGGUUUGUCACGUCGUCUGUGAAAUCCUCCAGCUCAACUGGGGGGCGUGCAGGCGAUACGGGCAGACUUGAGUACUACAGGGGAGACUGGAAUUCCUGGUGUAGCGGUGAAAUGCGCAGAUAUCAGGAGGGACACCGGUGGCGAAGGCGGGUCUCUGGGUAGUAACUGACG